CCUACGGGGGACAGCAGUGAGGAAUAUUGGUCAAUGGCCGCAGGGCUGAACCAGCCAAGUCGCGUGAGGGAUGACGGUCCUAUGGAUUGUAAACCUCUUUUGUCAGGGAGCAAAGGGCGCCACGUGUGGCGCUUUGCGAGUACCUGAAGAAAAAGCAUCGGCUAACUCCGUGCCAGCAGCCGCGGUAAUACGGAGGAUGCGAGCGUUAUCCGGAUUUAUUGGGUUUACAGGGUGCGCAGGCGGAAUGUCAAGUCAGCGGUAAAAUUUCGGGGCUCAACCCCGUCGUGCCGUUGAAACUGGCGUUCUUGAGUGAGCGAGAAGUAUGCGGAAUGCGUGGUGUAGCGGUGAAAUGCAUAGAUAUCACGCAGAACUCCGAUUGCGAAGGCAGCAUACCGGCGCUCAACUGACGCUCAUGCACGAAAGCGUGGGUAUCGAACAGGAUUAGAUACCCCAGUAGUC
rnacentral:rRNA from 1 species